CGAAGUUUUAUGAUCAUGCAAUUCAUUUCAACACCCAUCACAGAACCUCCAUCCUCAUAAAACGUCCGCCGGAAGAGACCGGUACACAGAGCAGAAACCAUGACGACAAACAGAGCUGACAUCGAACAUGGCGGACUGGUAUGGAAUUUCACGAUGAACGAAGGAGUUAUUGGUAGCUGCUACUAAUGGGAAGGAUGAUUAUUUUGCGCAUGUGUCGAUUUUCACCAUUACGUCUACCCUGUAGAUCCGAAUUUGUGUGAUAACUCAUAAACAAAUUCGUAUUUGCGGCGUAAUAUGUAGUGAGUGACUUUGACAUCGAGGGAUCGCCGAAUUCCAGGUACGGUGCUCUUUCGAACUGUUCUAGCUUUAUAAAAAGUAAGCUGAAUUCAUUUAUAAAAUCUGAAGAAUGUCAAGAAAUCAAUAUAUCGAGAAAUGUGUGAUACAGGUUUGAAUUUGUAAUCUUGACCUUGACACCAUCUCCUUCAUGUAACUGCAUUGCUUAAGAGUGUAGAUAUUUUAGCUACCUCAAGCCACCUCUGCAUACUUAAUGCUGACCAGGGUAUUGCCAGGACAUCGUCACUGGGUUGAAAGCAAUGUAGUAAUUCGGUUUAAAGAGAAAUAUUUUAUUGACGAAAUCCAAUAUGCAUAUAAAAGCAUCUUAUUGCUAAUCUCAGCGAGAUUUUAUUACCCAUUGUAUGACCGCCAAUUCACUGCUAGAAAACGCCUCUCUCGUACGUUACUACUCAUGAUGAUACCGUCCUAUCGAUAUGGAAGUUUGAUUUGAAAUUUGAAACAGCUUGUAAUUCAAUUCGACCUGUGUUUCCUUUUUAAAAUAGGGAAUUUGGAUUUGUUUCACAUUCAGAAAAAUGUACGCAUGAAAUAUUGUAUUUUUGUUUUGUUAAGGUCAUUACCACUGUCAGUGAAAUUUUAUAUUUAUGGCACGCAUAAUUAUACAACAUUAAUAAAAUCCAACGUCAAAAAAUGAAUUUCUAAGUGAGGUAAUUCUUGGUCAGCUAUCUACAUACAAAUUAUGAUAAUUGCUCUCAUUCUGUAAUUUAAAAAAAAAAAUCAGUAGGAAAUGGGAGAUGAACGGGGUCUUAUUGUAUGAAGUAGAGUGUGAGACAUCGAAGUCGCAUUCCUAGGUAUUGUAACUGUACACUUGCACAUCACAUCUACGUUAUUCAGGAUCAUUUAAAAAAAAAUGUAACAUGUUUUGGGUUUAGUCGGUCCAUUAAAAAAUAAAGGUGAGUAAUUUAACCAUACGAGUCAAAAAGUGUGAGUGUGUCUGUGUGAGCGUGUGUCUUGAUAUGGGGAAAAUAAAACUGUCAAGGUAUUCAUUUCAUUUACAUAUAUAUUUAAAUCUAACACGAUUGACGUCAAAUAUUUGUAUACCCUCUGCUAAUGAAAUGAAAGUUUAUAACUACAGUGGAUAGUUCUAUCUUUGUGAUUCAUACCCUAGGUGCCGAUGUUCAUAUAGUCACGUUUUAUUGUUUCUUCUUUUUGAGGACAACCAGCCGAUUAUAUAGACUCCAUUUGUGAUUUGAAUGAGCCAGAAUUCAACUCCAGAGCCUACAUGGCAAAUGUGCUUUCGAACAAAGAAACUUGAAGAGUGUCAUUGUAUACGAUUCUGUUCUUCAUACACAUGUAUAUUAUCAUAUUAAAUCAUUUACAUGUA